GUAACGAGUAGUUUGAUCAUGGCUAAUGAAGUCGUAACACGGUAACCAGAGUUUGAUCAUGGCUCAUGAAGUCGUAACAAGGUAACCAAGAGUUUGAUCAUGGCUCAAGAAGUCGUAGCAAGGUAACCAGAGUUUGAUCAUGGCUCACGAAGUCGUAGCAAGGGUUACCACGAGUUUGGUCAUGGCUCAUGUACUCAUGUCAAGGUUACCAAAUUGGUGGCGUAAAUGACUGACCAUCGGCGACGAUCCGUAGCUGGUCUGAGAGGAUGAUCAGCCACAUCGGGACUGAGACACGGUCCGAACUCCUACGGGAGGCAGCAGUGGGGAAUAUUGGACAAUGGGGGCAACCCUGAUCCAGCCAUGCCGCGUGUGUGAAGAAGGCUUUCGGGUUGUAAAGCACUUUCAGUGAGGAGGAAAACUCUGCGACUAAUACUCGUAGGGCUUGACGUUACUCACAGAAGAAGCACCGGCUAACUCCGUGCCAGCAGCCGCGGUAAUACGGAGGGUGCAAGCGUUAAUCGGAAUUACUGGGCGUAAAGCGCGCGUAGGUGGUUUGAUAAGCGAGAUGUGAAAGCCCCGGGCUUAACCUGGGAACGGCAUUUCGAACUGUCAGGCUAGAGUAUGGUAGAGGGUAGUGGAAUUUCCUGUGUAGCGGUGAAAUGCGUAGAUAUAGGAAGGAACACCAGUGGCGAAGGCGGCUACCUGGACAAUACUGACACUGAGGUGCAA
rnacentral:rRNA from 1 species